GAGGGUGUGCAUUUAAAACUGUUUAUCUUGAGUAGGGCGAGAGGGGGGUGGAAUUCCAUGUGUAGCAGUGAAAUGCGUAGAGAUAUGGAGGAACACCGAUGGCGAAGGCAGCCCCCUGGGCCAAUACUGACGCUGAGGCACGAAAGCGUGGGGAGCAAACAGGAUUAGAUACCCUGGUAGUCCACGCCCUAAACGAUGUCGACUAGUUGUUGGGGUAUUAUACCUUAGUAACGAAGCUAACGCGUGAAGUCGACCGCCUGGGGAGUACGGCCGCAAGGUUAAAACUCAAAGGAAUUGACGGGGACCUGCACAAGCAGUGGAUGAUGUGGAUUAAUUCGAUGCAACGCGAAGAACCUUACCUACCCUUGACAUGUAUGGAAUCUGUAAGAGAUUAUGGAGUGCCCGCGAGGGAACCAUAACACAGGUGCUGCAUGGCUGUCGUCAGCUCGUGUCGUGAGAUGUUGGGUUAAGUCCCGCAACGAGCGUAACCCCUGUUGCCAGUUGCUACGAAAGAGCACUCUGGUGAGACUGCCGGUGACAAAUCGGAGGAAGGUGGGGACGACGUCAAGUCCUCAUGGCCCUUAUGGGUAGGGCUUCACACGUCAUACAAUGGCCAGUACAGAGGGCAGCGAAACCGCGAGGUGGAGCGAAUCCCAGAAAGCUGGUCGUAGUCCGGAUCGCAGUCUGCAACUCGACUGCGUGAAGUCGGAAUUGCUAGUAAUCGCGGAUCAGAAUGCCGCGGUGAAUACGUUCCCAGGUC
rnacentral:rRNA from 1 species